UGGGGAAUCUUGGACCAUGGGUGAAAGCCUGAUCCAGCGACGCCGCGUGGGUGACGAAGGCCUUCGGGUUGUAAAGCCCUUUCGCCGGGGACGAUGAUGACGGUACCCGGAGAAGAAGCACCGGCUAACUCCGUGCCAGCAGCCGCGGUAAGACGGAGGGUGCUAGCGUUGUUCGGAAUCACUGGGCGUAAAGGGCGCGUAGGCGGCCCUGGUCGUCGGUUGUGAAAGCCCGGGGCUCAACCCCGGAACGGCAACCGAGACGCCAGGGCUGGAGCCCGGAAGAGGAGGGUGGAAUACCCAGUGUAGAGGUGAAAUUCGUAGAUAUUGGGUGGAACUCCGGUGGCGAAAGCGGCUCUCUGGUCCGGACCUGACGCUGAGGCGCGAAAGCGUGGGGAGCAAACAGGAUUAGAUACCCGUGUAGUCC
rnacentral:rRNA from 1 species